rnacentral:rRNA from 1 species
UACGAAGGGGGCUAGCGUUGCUCGGAAUCACUGGGCUUAAAGCGCGUGUAGGCGGGACGGCACGUCUGUCGCUGAAAUCCCCCGGCUUAACCGGGGAACUGGCGGAGAUACGACCGUCCUGGAGGGGCGUAGGGGGACCUGGAACUUCCGGUGGAGCGGUGAAAUGCGUUGAGAUCGGAAGGAACGCCCGUGGCGAAAGCGAGGUCCUGGACGCCUACUGACGCUGAGACGCGAAAGCCAGGGGAGCGAACGGG